UCAAGCAAUCGAGAUCCCGAGCGGAGGUCGAACGCGCACCCCCGACCCACACUGCAGGACGGAGAUCAUUUGCUCGAGUCGCCCAUGAGAUAAUGUAGAAGGAAGGUGAAGAACCUUCUGCGUUGCGAUUGCUGCAGGAGACUCACCGUCGAGCUGACGGUACUUAUAUCAGCGAUCGGGUUCAGGAAAUUGAGGAUGCGAUUCAGGCAAAGAUCACCGAUCGUCUCUCCCAGUUAGAGGAGAGUUGUGGAUCGACCCAACUUUCGCCAGCAGAAAUCAACAGCCUCUAUCUGGAGGUUGUCCAACCCGAUGCCAAAGGACGUAUAUACGGCGUCGGUGCAAUGGCGACUCAGUUGGGUGGUGGUCAUCCGGAUGCAACAUCGAUCGGUCACCACGUCUCACUCACUAAGGAGGU